AACGCCCAGAGCUUAUACUAUAAUUGGUUUUAAAACAGGAAGGAAGAUUCGUGGAGGCAAUGUGAACGAAGGCUUAAUGCUCGGCAGACACAACUUGGGGGUUAGUGACGUGGCAGAAUGUGGGACCACAACGUUCAAAUAAAUGGCUGUCUGUUUUUGCCAGGUGUCCUUGUUAAUACUAUUCUAGCUCUAUUAUCUUUAUUUUUCUUUUCUGCUUAAUCAUGGUUUCAUCUACCUAAUUAAAAGAAACAUUUGAAACCAUUUUCCACUUUGAAUUGUGUUGUUACGAGAAGCCUAAAGGGAAGUUGCGGAGGGCAUUGAUGAUGGCAGUAGCAAAUAGCAAGGUACGAUAAUGGCAGGCUUGGCAGCCUGGCAUAGGCAAAUUUGCCUGGUAUUGUGGGAGUAUACCUAGAAAGAUUUGGGGCUGUUAAGUAUCUGUCUGUGUAAUCAAGGAAUGUAGCUGUUUUAUGUUUUCUAUGUAAUGUUUUCCUUGAACAAAUUAUGGGGAUAGUUGGCUUGGGUAAUCAGUUGCUGUGACACAAAAAAAAAAAGAAUAAUAAUAAUAUUAAAUCACUUGCCAAAUUCAUCAAUGUUGUGUCUCCCAUUAAAAAGUUUCUUGGUGUGCAUUUAGUUUCCUUUUCAAUUAUGGUGUUGAUGCUGAAUCAGGACCUAGGAGCCUCAGAACCUGAUGUGGGGAUGAACACUCAUUUUCCAGAUUUUGCACUUGAAUGCAAAUUGCAUG
rnacentral:lncRNA from 1 species